AGUUGCGAAGGCGGCUCUCUGGACUGUAACUGACGCUGAGGCACGAAAGCGUGGGGAGCAAACAGGAUUAGAUACCCUGGUAGGCCACGCUGUAAACGAUGAGUACUAGGUGUCGGGGGUUACCCCCCUCGGUGCCGCAGCUAACGCAUUAAGUACUCCGCCUGGGAAGUACGCUCGCAAGAGUGAAACGCAAAGGAAUUGACGGGGACCCGCACAAGUAGCGGAGCAUGUGGUUUAAUUCGAAGCAACGCGAAG
rnacentral:rRNA from 1 species